UCUCCGUUGGUGAGCCAGCGGAGGGAUCAUUAUCGAGGUUAUAACGCGCAAACCCUAUGUGAACUUAGCGCUUGUUGCUCAGGCACGUGGUUCCGGGCCGCCGAGGACAGUUAAACUCUUUAUUAUUACAAGCAAUAGUGAGGGGCCGAAUGGCAAAAUACAAAUUAAACAAAACUUUAAACAACGGAACCGGUGGUUCUGGCUUCGAUGUAGAACGCAGAAGAACGGAAGAGCACACGUACGAACUCCAACCACUGUGUACAGCCUGGUAUGCCGAUU
rnacentral:misc_RNA from 1 species